rnacentral:lncRNA from 1 species
GCAGUGCUAACAUCCAAUUUGCAUGUGCUGGGAGAGAAAAUUCUUCAUGGAUCUCUUGUGCUCCUACACAUCUCACUGAGUCAAGAUGAAGAUGCCAUCUGAAAUUUCUAUUCUAUGAAUGACAUCUGGAUAUUGAUUUCCUGAAAUUUUCUUGAAACUACACCUUGUCCUCUCUAUGAGGAUACACCUCCAACAGCCACAAAGAAGCCAGCCUAGCUCUCAGUCCAGGUACCAACUAUCCAGGAGAAUCAUUACUUCCUCUCAGGCAGCUUCAAGGCUGAAACAAUGGCCCAUGACUUCUGUCUCUCCUCAAUCAAUUCCCUCACUGGAGUUCUUCCCCUGAACAAAGACCAGCUUGUUCAUUUGCAUUUCAUUGGCAGAUAAUAUUACUUGAGAUAUCAUUCAAUUUGUUAUUUUUAUCUUAACAUACACAGGGGUGGGGAGGAGAAAAAGAAAUUAAGCAAACUGUGAAUGUCCCUUUGUUCAGUGUUAUCUGUUUCUGUUAACUAUGUAAGAUGUUGGUAGAUGGCAAACAAACUCCCUGAGAAAAAAACAGUGGGAGUUUUCAUAUGAAAGUGUUCAGAGAGUGGUUCAAUGAUCACUCUGCAAGAUAUUGUAGGAAAUAUCUGCACCCAUCUGAGAGAUUAACUGGAUGCCUUCUAAGGACCCAUCUAUUUCCAUGGUUUAGUGAUACAAUAAUUAAUUAAUUUAUGCAACAGAUAAUGAGUAUUUACCAUUUGCAAGGCACAAGGAGUAGCUGAAAUCUAGAAACUUUGUAUGUGAAAUGUUUAACUUUUUUGUCUAACACAUUUCAUACAAGGGUUUAAAAUUAGAUCCAGG